rnacentral:rRNA from 1 species
CCUACGGGGCGCAGCAGUGGGGAAUAUUGGGCAAUGGACGCAAGUCUGACCCAGCAACGCCGCGUGAAGGAAGAAGGCUUUCGGGUUGUAAACUUCUUUUAAGGGGGAAGAGCAGAAGACGGUACCUGACCAAGAAGCCCCGGCUAACUACGUGCCAGCAGCCGCGGUAAUACGUAGGGGGCAAGCGUUAUCCGGAUUUACUGGGUGUAAAGGGGGCGCAGACGGCAAUGCAAGCCAGGAGUGAAAGCCCGGGGCCCAACCCCGGGACUGCUCUUGGAACUGCAUGGCUGGAGUACAGGAGGGGCAGGCGGAAUUCCUAGUGUAGCGGUGAAAUGCGUAGAUAUUAGGAGGAACACCGGUGGCGAAGGCGGCCUGCUGGACUGUGACUGACGUUGAGGCCCGAAGGCGUGGGGAGCAAACAGGAUUAGAUACCCGGGUAGUC